AAAGCGCCGUCGCCGAUCGACGGAAUAAAUGUGCGAAAUUUUGCCGCCUCCAUCAACGCGUCGGCGUUAGUUAGUGGUAGUUAGUAGUUCAGUAUCCGCCUUUGUAUCCAUAUCCAUGUGCCUGUGUUCGUCUCCGUAUCUGUGUCUAUAUCGGCUGACUUUGGCUCGGAUUUGACGGGCUUUAUGGCCAAAGCCCAGCUGAAGCUUGGCGAACAUUUUCUGAAGUGUAGGUUGCUUGGAUUCCCUUCCUGGUUCUUCCUGGUUCCACCGCAACCCCAGUAGGCCACCCAUCCAUCCGCCUCCCUAGAACCGUAGGUAUCCACCGCCGACUCCAUCCACUUGCCACUUCCACACGGCACUUGUCUGGCAAGUUUGACUUAAGUGCAGUUUUAACGCUGCUUUGUCCAUUUGGCAGGGGCACGAACUGCGGCUGGGGGUACGACUAGGGUUACGGAAGUAGGGUUACGGCACGGAGGUAUUCGAGGGACUCGAAGGGAUAUGGUAACGGAUCUGUUGGCCCGCUCUGUGAGCCCGGAGAACGUGUUAACUGCAGGUGUUUGGCAUUUGAGUUACGUGAGCACGCAACAAAUGUGGAAAGUAUUUCCACGGGGUAAAUGGGCUCCUGGGGUGGUGAUUUUGGACGGGGCUUGUGGGCCGGGAGAUAAUCCGAGCCAACAAUGCAUAUAAUUAAUUGUCAGCUGCCGGGUGCAGCAGUAUGUACUUUCAUCCCCAAAGUAAUGGCAAAUCCAUGUGCGUCAUAGUCCAUCAUAACAGGGAAUUACAAUAACAAGGGGGAUGAGCAAUGGGGUUAAAAGGUCUGAGGGAGUCAUUGCUAUACGAGGGAAAUCUAGUCAUGUUGAAUUGAUUUUAAUUUAUUAAUAUUACAGAGCAAAGAAGGAUUAUUGGUGUGCAAUAUAAUAUAUUUUUUGUAUUUAUUUUCUUAUAUAUUCCUCUCUCUAAUAUUAUUCAAUUUACAUUGGCUUACUUUACAAAUAAUUCUUAUAUAAUGGCCCCUUAAAGCACCAUCAAAGUAAUAACAUUUCGACUUGGCUUCGAUUCAACUCAGAGCCCCUCUUCCAAAUCGCCUGACAUUAAUUACGAUUCAUUGCCGGCCAUCAGGAGUUGUUUUGGGGCAAGUCCCUCCUGCGUUUGGGCCCCCAAAAGCUGGACCCCAGCCAAUGGCUCGGAAAGGAGGACCGGUUCAUCCACAUAAUUGCCACAAGACAAGCCCUUCAAUGGCGAGUGGCAAGUGGCGAGUGGCAAGUGGCAUGUAGCACUCACUUCUGGCGCUCCACCAAGUGUCAUCCGGGCGACAGGGAAACACCAAUUAAGGCGGAGGGAUCAUUGUUAUGCAACAAUUAAAACCGAGGGAGCAUGGGGCAGCCUAGUGAUGGAUUUGACCAGCAAACAAGGCGGCUGGAUGGGACUUCGUUAUGUGGAACGUGCCGCUGCAACGCGUGGGUCUCAUAAUGCUGUCGACGAUGCAACGGCCCACUGGACCCAGUGUUGUCCCACUGAACUUAACCAAGGCUCAAUCAAGCCCGGAAAAUGGCCCAGGAUAAAUUUAAAGAUAUUUUUAACAAUGGACUCAGGUUGUAAUUAAACUUGCGUUCAAUAUCCUUUUGUACUUUAAAUAAAUUUUAAUAUUUGCCUUCCUUAAAAUAGUUUGCAUUUUGAGAGAUAAAAGAAAGUGUAUUAAUUUUUUUUUUAUAUUAAAAAUCCUACAAAAUUAGGUAAACGGGGCCAUAUUUAUCUUUAGUAAUAUCCAAUUUCAUCUGAAUAUAAAAACCCCUUGGCAACACUGAUGGAGGCUGCAAGACCCAAUUGCAACGACUCUGGACCCUACUGAACGCAAUCAGUUUGAGUGCUUUGAUAUAUUGGCCAAUGCCGCAAAUGAAAGCGUGACUCGCACUGCUGAGGGAGCCUUUAGAAUCUACAGUGGUGCCAUGUGCCACUUGAAUUUUCCUCAUUUGGCAGCCGCACACGUCCACGACCAAAGCCUUGCCCUCUUCAUCCGA